rnacentral:rRNA from 1 species
GAUAGGAGACAAGAAGGCAUCUUCUUGUUUUUAAAAGACCUAGCAAUAGGUAUGCUUAGGGAGGAGCUUGCGUCACAUUAGUUAGUUGGUGGGGUAAAGGCCUACCAAGACUAUGAUGUGUAGCCGGGCUGAGAGGUUGAACGGCCACAUUGGGACUGAGACACGGCCCAAACUCCUACGGGAGGCAGCAGUAGGGAAUUUUCGGCAAUGGAGGAAACUCUGACCGAGCAACGCCGCGUGAACGAUGAAGUAUUUCGGUACGUAAAGUUCUUUUAUUAGGGAAGAAUAAAUGAUGGAAAAAUCAUUCUGACGGUACCUAAUGAAUAAGCCCCGGCUAACUAUGUGCCAGCAGCCGCGGUAAUACAUAGGGGGCAAGCGUUAUCCGGAAUUAUUGGGCGUAAAGGGUGCGUAGGCGGUUAAAUAAGUUUAUGGUCUAAGUGCAAUGCUCAACAUUGUGAUGCUAUAAAAACUGUUUAGCUAGAGUAAGAUAGAGGCAAGUGGAAUUCCAUGUGUAGUGGUAAAAUGCGUAAAUAUAUGGAGGAACACCAGUAGCGAAGGCGGCUUGCUGGGUCUUUACUGACGCUGAGGCACGAAAGCGUGGGGAGCAAACAGGAUUAGAUACCCUGGUAGUCCACGCCGUAAACGAUGAGUACUAAACGUUGGGUAAAACCAGUGUUGAAGUUAACACAUUAAGUACUCCGCCUGAGUAGUACGUACGCAAGUAUGAAACUUAAAGGAAUUGACGGGACUCCGCACAAGCGGUGGAUCAUGUUGUUUAAUUCGAAGGUACCCGAAAAACCUCACCAGGUCUUGACAUGCUUCUGCAAAGCUGUAGAAACACAGUGGAGGUUAUCAGUUGCACAGGUGGUGCAUGGUUGUCGUCAGCUCGUGUCGUGAGAUGUUGGGUUAAGUCCCGCAACGAGCGCAACCCUUAUUGUUAGUUACCAGCACGUAAUGGUGGGGACUUUAGCAAGACUGCCAGUGAUAAAUUGGAGGAAGGUGGGGACGACGUCAAAUCAUCAUGCCCCUUAUGACCUGGGCUACAAACGUGAUACAAUGGCUGUUACAAAGGGUAGCUGAAGCGCAAGUUUUUGGCGAAUCUCAAAAAAACAGUCUCAGUUCGGAUUGAAGUCUGCAACUCGACUUCAUGAAGUUGGAAUCGCUAGUAAUCGCGAAUCAGC